rnacentral:rRNA from 1 species
AUUGAACGCUGGCGGCAGGCCUAACACAUGCAAGUCGUACGAGCGGCGGACGGGUGAGUAAUGUAUGGGGAUCUGCCUGAUGGCGGGGGAUAACUACUGGAAACGGUAGCUAAUACCGCAUACCAUCAGCUGAACCCAUAUGGGAUUAGCUAGUAGGUAGGGUAACGGCUGACCUAGGCGACGCUCCCUAGCUGGUCUGAGAGGAUGAUCAGCCAGACUGGGACUGAGACACGGCCCAGACUCCUACGGGAGGCAGCAGUGGGGAAUAUUGCACAAGGGGCGAAAUCCUGAUGCAGCCAUGCCGCGUGUAUGAAGAAGGCCUUCGGGUUGUAAAGUACUUUCAGUCGGGAGGCGUUACCGACAGAAGAAGCACCGGCUAACUCCGUGCCAGCAGCCGCGGUAAUAC